GGGGCCGUGGCUCCAUGGUAGAGCAUCUGCUCAGCAUGCCGAAGGUCCCGUGUUCAAUCCCCGCCAUUUCCA
rnacentral:tRNA from 1 species